GUUCCCGGGCCUUGUACACACCGCCCGUCACACCAUGGGAGUGGGUUGCAAAAGAAGUAGGUAGCUUAACCUUCGGGAGGGCGCUUACCACUUUGUGAUUCAUGACUGGGGUGAAGUCGUAACAAGGUAACCGUAGGGGAACCUGCGGUUGGAUCACCUCCUUACCUUAAAGAA
rnacentral:rRNA from 1 species